rnacentral:rRNA from 1 species
UUCAACGGCCGCGGUAUACUGACCGUGCAAAGGUAGCGUAAUCAUUUGUCUUUUAAUUGAAGACUAGUAUGAAUGGCAUCACGAGAACUAAUCUGUCUCCCUCCCUCAAUCAGUGAAACUGAUCUCCCCGUGCAGAAGCGGGGAUAAUAUCAUAAGACGAGAAGACCCUGUGGAGCUUCAAAUCAAUAAUCAACUGCUUCACUCACCCCAACAUAGGGAUACACUCACGCAAACUUGAUUUAGAUUUUCAGCUGGGGCGUCUAUGGAGAAAAAAAAAUCCUCCAUGAAAAUUCAUGCUUAAAGCUACCGCCAUAGGCAUUAAUAUACUUAACUUUAAUUGACCCAAUUUUUGAUCAACGGACCAAGUUACCCCAGGGAUAACAGCGCAAUCCACUUAAAGAGUCCUUAUCGACAAGUGGGCUUACGACCUCGAUGUUGGAUCAGGGCAUCCAAGUGGUGCAGCCGCUACUAAAGGUUCGUUCGUUCAACGAUUAAAG